UUAUCCAAGGUAUUAAACACACACCGUUUUUGAAAGCUGGAGAGGGUUCUCCAUCCGACAAACGUUAUCAGCUCCCCACCAAGCAUGAGCUGAUUCAUUCACCUGUGAGGAGAACCAUCCUACAGCAGUUGAAGAUGAGAGGAGUGGAGAAUAUACACCAUUGAAGCCAACAGACAGAAGAGGAGAAGAGACUCCAACCUGACUACUGGAAGAGAGAACCAACUCGGUCUCCUUGGGGAACUAUGAGGUACAGACAGAAGAGUGAGGCAUCAGGCACAUGRCAGGAGAAAAUAGAGGGAGAGGACAAACAGAAGAAGUGUUGCCCAGGGGCUGAAGACACACGCCGGAACCAGCUGCACUCCUGAUCUGAGGACACAUGCUAGAGCCAGCUAUACCCUUCCUGUGACAUUAGAGGCUUGCUUUCUAUCCAAAUACAUAAUCAUGUAAGAAAGAAGAUAUACAUGUUUGCUGUGUGUGUCACGCGCUGGCCUUAGUAUUCUUUGUUUUCUUUAUUAUUUUAGUUAGGUCAGGGUGU